UUCAAGACUUGCUGCAUUGGGAGAGUACAGUACAAAAGCAACAUUUGCAGGACCAACAUCAAUAGACCAUGAUGAGUUGUGAAGGAAACAACUGGGUGGGGAACGGUUUUUUGCAGUUUGAUUUUUCUCAUCUUUCUAGCAUGAAUGGCUUAGGUUUUUUUUAACAGAGCAAUAUUUUCUCCAGUGUUCCAACACUCCAUAUUCUAAUCCUGACGCGAGCCCUACGCCAGCUUUUCCUGCCUUCUGUUCUUGGCACUCUGACAUCAUAACCCCUGCAUAUCCUGUCACUGAAACAAAUGUCUGAGAGAUUCCACCGCUUCCCUUUAAUUGGAACUAGCUUGUUCCAAGGAGCUGAAGAGGCAAACUGUUCAGAGUAUCCAGAGACUUCCACGAGGGAACUAGGAAAGCUCAGUGCUUCUGAAAAAUCUGUGCACUACUUUGGAAUACCGAGGCCCUGUUAGCUCUCAAGGAAGCAGCGGUGUGGAUGAAGUGGUCUCCGCAGCUCUUCCAGGAGGUCUCAUCCUAGCUACGGUAAGCACUGUACUGCUCGCACUAUCUCCAGCAAUGAGCAAAAGCACCAGGUCUGAAGAAAG